AAUAGAUUAGAACAACUCUGCUGAGAUAAAUUCCUGAAAUAUAUGUUUGGUGUAUGUUGAACAAAAAUUUAACAUGGAAAUUAUCCAAAUAUGAAAUAAGUUGAAACAAACCUGUCUUCCAAUUGUUUCCUCACAUACUAGGCAAGUGAGGCAGCCUCUAUUAUUUGUGGUUCCAGGCUUUCAGCUCAUUCAUUUUCAGUUAGCCAUUCAUCUACUAGACAGACAAUUAUUAACCCCAGGUCUUCAACUAGUUACUUGGGUCAGGCCUUCGACCAGGGACAGUGCACUAUCAAGAUGAGAAAGCCCAGCAAUGCUUCCUGCCUUUCUUGAGCUUAUGAGCAGGGAAAGCACACAAAUAUAAAAUUUCACAGUGAAAAUUGUUACAAAGGAGAGUUUUAUUGCCCUCAAAGAGCAUAUAAUAGUGAGAUUGAAACCAGUAAAGGCAGGGUUCCCAAGGGAAGUGAAGAAUGAGACAUGAUCUAAAGAAGGAGUAGGAGGAAGCCCAGGAGAGCCCAGGGAAUUGUAGGUCACAAAGAGUGGAGUGGCACAGGGUCAAAUGACAUGAAGAGGACAGAGAGGUGAGGACUGAAACCUUCAGUAGGUUUAGUAGCUGCUGACCUUAGCAAGAGAGAGUCUGGUAGGGUUUUGAAACAGAAGCUAGAUCAGAUAGGCUAAGGAGUGAGUGGGGGACAGGAACUGGAGACAGGGUGUGUAUAUGGUUCUUUCAAAAAGUUGGACUGAAAAGGGAAGAAAGAUAACAGAAUGAGUCAGAGAAACUUGUGGGGUUAGGAGUGGUUGUUUUGUUCCUCAGUCUUGUUAAUGAAAGAGGCCCGAACAUACAUAAAUCUAGGUAUAGACUGAGACAGUGUCUGAAUAGAUUCAGAGACAAGUCUUUGAGUGUCAGACUUCUGAGGAGCUGGACGGAGAAUGACAGGAGAGAGCAGCAGAAGAUAAGAUCAUGUGUUUCGUAUCAAGGGUAUGGGACAUUUCUGAUAGUUUCUAUUUCCUACAUAAAGCAUGAGUGGAGUCAUGCAGUCACCAACUAAAAUAGGAUAUCCGGGGUUGGAGGUGAGGGUGAGGCAAUGGAGGAGAUUUGAAAUGAAGGGGUGAUAGAUGAGAGUGAGUUAAUGAAAGGUACAAUUGAAGGCUUAUCUGAAGUUGAUAAUCCUGAAUUUCUCAUGGCACACAUCUUUAUGUCUCAAAAUGUUACUUUUACUCUCCCACCACUAAAAAUAUGAGUUACAUUGUACAGUACCUGUACAAGGCUAUCUCUUCAACCUCAAGUUUUUUGAGUUGCAAUCUGAGAUUCUCCUUUUCUCACUUUAGACUACAUUUUUUUCUUAGGAAUUUUAUUUAGGUUUAUAAUUUGCAAUACCGUCUACAACAGAAGUGUCCAUGGACUUGGUGUAACCAGCCAACUAAUUUGUUUUGGCUUAAAAAGUGAUUUUUAAAAAUCUUAAGCUAGUUAGAGCUUAGAAUAAAAUCCAAGUUUCUGUUUUCUCUUAAAAGAUAAAAAAAACUGGCUGCACUGACCCCACAGUCCCACAUCAACGAUCUAUUGGAGCAGAGUAACAGCUGCCCCCCUGAGAUUGGACAUGCUCUCUCCAGCUCAUGACAGUCCCCCCAUUAUUAUCCACUUCACUCACUUCCCUUGCCUAGGCAGCAACCAUGACCUGUAGACGUUUGAGUUUACGAUUCUCAAUUUAUAAAUUCAUAACUCCCAAAGAUUUAACUUCACCUCAGACAGCUCUUUUGUAUUUCACAUAUCAACUACCAACAGUUGACUGGAUGGUCUUUGGGUGACUGAAACUCAGUAUCUGCAGAGAGUCUACAUUUCUCCUAACAGAGGUUUGCAUCUAUGGAGACAGUUUGGAAACCUCAAGCAUUAGGAUACUUAUGCUGCUUUUCUCAACACAUUCUGUGAAAGGACACAGUCCAGACCAAGGUUAUGCAAGUGAGAAAAAUAAGAACCAGAAACUAAAAGAAAGUAUAAAGCCUGAUUACGGAUUUUUAAAUUAAA